rnacentral:rRNA from 1 species
UACGUAGGGAGCAAGCGUUGUUCGGAUUUACUGGGCGUAAAGGGCGCGUAGGCGGCAUAUUAAGUCAUCUGUGAAAUCUCCGAGCUUAACUCGGAACUGUCAGCUGAUACUGAUGUGCUAGAGUGCGGAAGGGGCAAUCGGAAUUCUUGGUGUAGCGGUGAAAUGCGUAGAUAUCAAGAGGAACACCUGAGGUGAAGACGGGUUGCUGGGCCGACACUGACGCUGAGUGCGCGAAAGCUAGGGGAGCAAACGGG